ensembl:lncRNA
GUGACUUUUCCCUCUGAUGAUGAGGAUGGGUCACCGUCUUCAGCCUAUGCUUGUCUCUUUGCAGGCCUUUCCAAAGGGUGCGAGAAGCACCCCAACAUUGCAGCAUCCUGACUUUUUCCGAGAUGCUCUGCUGCCGCAGUCUCUGAGGGCCCAACCUUCCCUCAGCCGGGAGCCAAGAGGACAUCAACAGCCCUUCGGCCUCCCUCUCCGCUGCCACCCAGCUAGCGCUGUAUUUCAGCACGAUCCCCACUCUGGUACCAAAUUCUGCUGCUCUCCCAGGCUUCUCAUCUCAGAUCACGGGCCCAUGCUCACCCAGAUGCUCGAAGCUCACCCAGAAGCAGGGGAGUUAUCCUUGCAUCUCGUACUUCCUGAAAGCUCAUGUCAGCAGAUCCUGCUGUCCCGAAUUCCAGAAGGCUCCACACCCAGCAUGGAGCCCAACGUGGGGCUUGAACUCACGACCCUGAGAUCAAGACCUGAGCUGAGAUCAAGAGUCGGACGCUUAACUGACUGAGCCACCCAGGUGCCCCUCUGAUGAUUUUUUUUUUAAGUCACCUCUGCACCCAACGUGGGGUUCAAGUCAUGACCCUGACAUCCAGAGUCGCACACCCUACAGACUGAGCCAGCCGGGCACCCCUCAAAACUCUGAUUUAAUUCGUUUGGGCUGAAGCCCAGGCAUCGGUGGGUGUUUUUUAAAAAGUUCCUCAAUAGGAUAUAAUGAAAAAGAUUGAUAGUAACAAGCAUUGGCAAGCAUGUGGAGAAAUGAGACCCUUCACGCGUUGCUGGUAGGGACGUAACAUAGCACAGUGCUUUGUUAGUUUCUUAUAAAGUUAAAUACACAUUUACUACAUACACAGGGAUUCCACGUCUAGGCGUCCACUCCGCAGAUAGGAAAACAAACGUUCACACAAACACUUGCACGGGGAUGUUCAUGGCAGCACCAUUCCUAACAGCCAAAAGGUGGAAACAACGCAAACGUCUAGGAUGGUAAACAGACCCACAGAACGUGGCAGAUCUGUGCAUGGAGGACUCUUCGGCGGGAGAAGAGGCUGAACCACUGAUCGGUGCCACAACAUAGCUGAGUCUCAAAACCACGGCGCGAAGUGAAGGGGCUGAGGCCGAAACUUCCGUUUAUGUGAAAGGUCCAGAAAAGGCAACUCUAUAGAGAAAGAAAGCAGAGUAGUGGUUACCCGGGUCUGGGGUGUGGGAAGACGGGGUGAGGGCAAACAGUCACGAGAGCUCUUUUUUGGGGUGACGGAACUGUUCUAAAACUGAGUUGUGAUGGCUGCACAGCUGUGUACGUUUACCCAAAUCAUUGAAUUGUACAUUUGAAACAGGUGACUCUGGCGGCAGAUUAAAAAUGAUACCCCAAGUUUUUCCCGACAGGGUUGAGAUCUCUGGGUUAGAAGCCAAGCGUCCUAGGAACCCCUCAGCCGGGAUCCAGGCGCAGUUGGCGUGCUCCCCCUCCCCCCUCUCUAGGUCAAAGCUUCCUCUGAUCUCAGAUGUUCACAAAGCUGCCAGCUGUCACCCUGGCUUCUUGUUUGGAGAAGUCGGGGACUGCAUUUUGCAGAAUCAGCUCAUAGGAGUGUAAACAUCCCAGUUCGUGGCCACUCUGCCCAAAGUAGUAAGAAUGGGCAUCAGAGGGGCGCCUGGGUGGCACAGCGGUUGAGUGUCUGCCUUUGGCUCAGGGCGUGAUCCCGGCGUUAUGGGAUCGAGCCCCACGUCGGGCUCCUCCGCUGGGAGCCUGCUUCUUCCUCUCCCACUCCCCCUGCUUGUGUUCCCUCUCUCGCUGGCUGUCUCUAUCUCUGUCGAAUAAAUAAAUGAAAUCUUAAAAAAAAAAAAAAAAA